ACGCAGCUCUCGCGGGCGGACCUCCAGCUCGGCCUGCGCGGCGGAGCGGAGCAGCGGCAGCUCCACCGUCACCACCAGCUCCCGGGGCACCGGGCCGGGCGCCGAGUCCCGACCGCAGCGGUAGUCCUGCAGGUCCACGGCCGUCACCUCCUCCUCGUACAGCCGCCGCUGCUCCGGGUCGGCCAGCUCCGCCGCGUACUCGGCGAACAGCUCCCGAAACCGCUCGUCGCGGAAGGCCCGCUGCAGCCGCUCCGCUUCCUCGGCGCUCAGCUCCAGCUCCUCCAGCCGCCCCGGGCCCGCCAUGGCCGCGCCGGUUGCUGUGGAGACGGUAAACAAGAUGGCGGCUCCGUUCCGUCCGAGCGCGUUGCUAUGGCGACGCUAAAACAAGAUGGCGGCGACCCCGUUCGUUGCUAUAGUGACGCUAAACAAGAUGGCGGUCGCGCCACCCCAGCCUGUUGCUAUGGCGACGCCAAGCAAGAUGGCGCCCCAACAAGCUCCUCUGGGCUCCCACAGCUGCCGCAGACCUCGCCCCGUGCAAAAAUUAGCACUGUCACGUCCUGAUGCUCCCGCAUGAGUUUCAAACGACCUCGCCCCUGUUCACCUUAAGCCUCACCACGGCUGUGUAACACUAUCCACUGCCGGCACUAAUCAGCUCCUUGCAAAUCUGCCUUACACCUUUCCUGCCCCAAGACAAAUGCCGGCCUGUACUGCCUUUCCCAUGGGCUGCAGAUAACUAGGCUCUCAGUUCAGUUCAGCACAGGGAAAAACAAAGUUCUUCCUCCCUUUAACUUCCUUUCUAAAAGAUACUUAUUUCCUAUACAUGCCCUUGCUUCCUUCGGGUGCCUUCUUUUCUUGUGUUGUGGCAGUUAAUCUUCGGCGGCUCCAUUUUAUCGAAACCAACACAGCAUAUUUUCCUGUAAAAGUUUAUUCCCAUACAAAAUAAGCCACUUUUGGCUUUGACAUUUAUUAUGAACAGCCUGCAAUACAUCAUAAAAUCAAUCCAUCUAAAACGAGUGCUGCGGUUGGCCUCACAAAGGCUCAGUCCCUUUUUGCAGUCUUGUAGAAAGUCAGAGACCCUGAAGCUUGCUGAAAAUACCAAACAAAAGCAAGGUUUAGUUAAAAGAAAUGCCAAUACAUAGCACAUUAUUCUGUUUUGCGAUCUGGGAAAGACUUCAUAAUGUUUUGAUCUAUCUAAAGACCUAAAGCAUCUCACGGUAUGAUUAUUUUCUGUAUUCAAGAAAAGAUUACACUGAUCUAUCUUUUAUCCACUCCUUCUGUGGAAGAUUAUACACUCCCGUGUGACAAAAAGCUGCUGCAACAAGACAUGAAAUUGAAUCAGAGGCAAACAAGACAAAUAGCAUUUUUCCUAUUUGAUUCUACCACUGUUAUUUCAAAACUGAUGGAAAUUUUUAGCACAGUUGUAAACGGUUUGAUACUGUUUAGUUUGCUUGUAUUUUUCUGGUUUUGCAGCUGUUUUUUCUUCCCAAUUGUUGAAAGACCACAAUAGGAAUGAAUAAGCACACGUGUAAAAUACAUGAAAUCAGAGCGUAAAAGUGGCUUUUGAGUGAGUUUGAUUAUGAUCACAAAAUGAACCAAAAAUCAUUCCUAAGUGAGAUUAACUCAUGCAACAAUAUAAUCUUCAGAAACAAAUCUGUUUCCAACUGUGUCUCAGUUAUCUGGUUUCAGUUACUGAAAAUGAUAUAAUACAAUCUAUCUUUCCGUUUAUUUUUGGAUCAUGUUUCUCAUCAUUGUUUCCUGGCAGUAACUUCUGAAUUUCUUAUUUUAGGUCUAGGCAUCUGAAUUUCUUACACUGCUUAAGUGCAAAGUGUAAGUCUGCAUUAACUGCUAGAACAUUCAUUCUGUUGAUAUAAUUCCUUUUCUGUAUUCCUCCUGAUAACUAGAAAGUCAGCAAAUAAAAUGAUUAUAUUUACCUGUCUUCAACAGUCUUGUUGGAGGGGUAGAAUACCUUGAAUGAAAACCCACUUCUUGGAAAAGAACCCUGUAAAGAAAAAUACACCACAUUCGUGUAAGUAUAACGCUGUACAGAUGGCAAGAGACACCCAUAUGUAACUGCAUUCCCUUUGGCAACUGACCCAUCAUUAAUUUUCCUAAUAUUAUAAUAAAGCUAUUUGUAAAUUCAA